rnacentral:rRNA from 1 species
AGAGUUUGAUCCUGGCUCAGAUUGAACGCUGGCGGUAUGCUUAACACAUGCAAGUCGAACGGAAACGAAACUAGCUUGCUAGUAGGCGUCGAGUGGCGGACGGGUGAGUAACGCGUAGGAAUCUGCCUGAUAGUGGGGGAUAGCCCGAAGAAAUUCGGAUUAAUACCGCAUAAUCUAUUCGUAGUAAAGUGAGGGACUUUCGAGCCUCACGCUAUCAGAUGAGCCUGCGUAAGAUUAGCUUGUUGGUAGGGUAAAAGCCUACCAAGGCAACGAUCUUUAGCUGGUCUGAGAGGAUGAUCAGCCACAUCGGGACUGAGACACGGCCCGAACUCCUACGGGAGGCAGCAGUGGGGAAUAUUGGACAAUGGGGGCAACCCUGAUCCAGCAAUACCGCGUGUGUGAAGAAGGCCUGAGGGUUGUAAAGCACUUUCAAUUGUGAAGAAAAGUUAACGGUUAAUAACCGUUGACCUUGACGUUAACUUUAGAAGAAGCACCGGCUAACUCCGUGCCAGCAGCCGCGGUAAUACGGAGGGUGCAAGCGUUAAUCGGAAUUACUGGGCGUAAAGCGUGCGUAGGCGGUUUAUUAAGUCAGAUGUGAAAGCCCCGGGCUUAACCUGGGAACUGCAUUGAAACUGGUCAACUAGAGUAUGGUAGAGGAAAGUGGAAUUUCUGGUGUAGCGGUGAAAUGCGUAGAUAUCAGAAGGAACAUCAAUGGCGAAGGCAGCUUUCUGGACCAAUACUGACGCUGAGGUACGAAAGCGUGGGUAGCAAACAGGAUUAGAUACCCUGGUAGUCCACGCCGUAAACGAUGAUAACUAGCCGUUGGGGGGAUUUACCCCUUAGUGGCGAAGCUAACGCGUUAAGUUAUCCGCCUGGGGAGUACGGCCGCAAGGCUAAAACUCAAAGGAAUUGACGGGGACCCGCACAAGCGGUGGAGCAUGUGGUUUAAUUCGAUGCAACGCGAAGAACCUUACCUGGUCUUGACAUCCUGCGAACUUUCUAGAAAUAGAUUGGUGCCUUCGGGAACGCAGUGACAGGUGCUGCAUGGCUGUCGUCAGCUCGUGUCGUGAGAUGUUGGGUUAAGUCCCGCAACGAGCGCAACCCCUAUUUUGUGUUGCCAGCACUAACGGUGGGAACUCACAAAAGACUGCCUGUAAUAAGCAGGAGGAAGGCUGGGAUCACGUCAAGUCAUCAUGCCCCUUAUACCCUGGGCUACACACAUGCUACAAUGGCUGGUACAAAGGGUUGCUAAACCGCAAGGUCAUGCUAAUCUCAUAAAACCAGUCUCAGUUCGGAUUGUAGUCUGCAACUCGACUACAUGAAGGUGGAAUUGCUAGUAAACGCAGAUCAUCAAUGCUGCGUUGAAUACGUUCCCGGGCCUUGUACACACCGCCCGUCACACCAUGAAAGCCGGAAGCACCCGAAGCUAAGUUGUUAACCUUUUAGGAAACGCUUAUCUAAGGUGAAGUUGGUGAUUGGGGUGAAGUCGUAACAAGGUAACC